CCAACGUGACGGGGCCGGGCGCGGGUGGGGGCGGGCCCCGGUCCGCGAGCGCCGGGAGCCCGCGAGGAUUCGCCGGUUCUCCUCCCUCCGGAGCGCUCCGCUCAGAAGUCGGGCGGGCAAAAGGGAGCGCGGCGCGGAGCCUCCAGGGAGCCGGGCAGGAAAAAGAAGGGGAGAGGAGAAGCGACCCCAAAUCCCUGACACGGGGACUGGGCUGAGCCCCCUUUCCUGCUCUUUGAAGCAAUGCUGCCUGCGAGGAGGAAACGCGCUUCGCGUGUCAGUGCAAACCGAGUCACCCGACCCUUUGCAGCCCCCAUUUGUAUGAAAGGGAAGUCCACUUAACCGCAGGCCUGAUAAACAAGGAGAGGCAGAAGAGACCACACCCUGACCCUGCUGUUCGUGGAGUCUAAGCUAUCUCUGGACAUUUCAGUUAUUUGAGACAAAUACAUCCCAUCUGUUACUUCAGUUACUGGAGAGUGAAGAGAACUUCAGAGGUCACUUGAUCACAGCCCAGCUGAGAGGAGAAGGCAUUCGAUAGAAGUCACCAUGCCUGGUGCCCAUGUGUGGUCUCCUGGCUUUCCUGGCUCCUGG